GAGGAGCCUGCGGCAGAUUAGCUAGUUGGUGAGGUAAUGGCUCACCAAGGCUGCGAUCUGUAGCUGGUCUGAGAGGACGGCCAGCCACACUGGCACUGACACACGGGCCAGACUCCUACGGGAGGCAGCAGUGGGGAAUUUUGGGCAAUGGGCGAAAGCCUGACCCAGCAACGCCGCGUGAGGGAGGAAAUCCUUCGGGAUGUAAACCUCACAAGUAAGGGAAGAGUGCUGCGGGCUGAAUAAUUCCGCAGUUCGACGGUACCUUACGUAAGCCACGGCUAACUACGUGCCAGCAGCCGCGGUAAUACGUAGGUGGCAAGCGUUGUUCGGAAUUAUUGGGCGUAAAGGGCGCGUAGGCGGCUUGUUAAGUCGGCUGUGAAAGCCCGGGGCUCAACCCCGGAGGGUCGGCCGAUACUGGCGAGCUAGAGUACGGAAGAGGUAGCUGGAAUUCCCGGUGUAGCGGCGAAAUGCGUAGAUAUCGGGAGG
rnacentral:rRNA from 1 species